rnacentral:lncRNA from 1 species
AGGAGUGAAUUCUAUUCCAGUCUACUAUUCUGCUGACUCCUCAGUUGGAGGGUUUUGAGCUCUGUCCCAGUUUCAGUGACCCAACAGCUGGUGCUGCCAGAAUACUCAAUUCAUAGCCUUUUCUGUAUCAUGUUCCUGUGUGCUCAGGAGUGGCUGACACUGGGGCUGAAUGUUCCUCUGCUCUUCUAUCACUUUUGGAGCAUGAUCUACACUUUAGUGAGUUCUUAACUGAGAGAUAACCUAUGUCACCAGAGACUGACACCAGCAAAAGGACAAAGGCUUGAGGAGAGAAGGCGAUCGAUACUGGAGAUUGGAUCGGAAGGACCUGGAGGAGGUGGUGGAUUUGGAAUUGGAGGCCAUUGGUUGAACGUGUGGAGGAAAACCAGGGAGAAGGGAAAGAGAGACGCAGUGGGCAGAAUGACUGGUUCAGAAUGCAGCUCGUGGGCUGGCUGACUGUGAAGGGCUCUUUUACUCUGUGUGUUGCAGUGGCUGGCAUUCCCACACAUGAACUGUGUAUCACUCCUGAGAAUCGGGGAGGUGGGGGAGAGCACAAAGCCAAACCUCUCAUGGGGGAGAACUGCUGCUUACCCAGAGUACUCCGGAAAACAGCUCCCUGCAGUUGCUUUUCACACUGGGUUCCUGGUAACAGUUCAGAUGGACUGUGGGAGUGGAGGCUGGGCUGGCUCUCUGCAAAGGGAUUUGAAUGCUCAGAAUACACUUCCGAGCCAGAGAUGUGGCCUGUGUGGAUAGCUGACAACAGAGAAACUCUUCUUGCCUCUUCCAAGCCCUUCCGGUGCCCCCUUUGGCUAGCAGUCAUGUGUGGUCUUCCUCUGGGCAGCCUCUGAGAGUAAAACAUCCAGGGGAGGUUCAUUUUUUUGUCAUGUUCCAAUUGAUUGGUGAUGGAAUGUUGCUAGGAUUCCAC